UGUUCACUGAAGAUCAAACAUGUUCCAAGUGCUUUUGAGUUUUAAAAAUCACUUCACUCGUUUUCAAAACCUCUGACUCCUAAUACCUGUGAAAGGCAGUAGAGACAUAGUUGCCCUUUGUGUAGAUUCAGAGCAAGUGUGCAAUAGAGAAUGCCGAGGCCCUCGUAUCAAAUAAAGCCCCCACGAGGUGGCUCUGUGUUUUCUGCUGAAUAUGGUUUACCCACUGUCCCAGGCAGGUAAUGCCCGAGCUCAGCAUUCCACCAGUUUUCUCUUUGCUUUAGUAUCUACGUCAACAUACAUGUUUUCCAUGAUUUUCCUCUGAGUUUGGGAUCCCCAAGUUCCCUCUGCCGUGGGCCCCUAUCAGAUGACAUUUCCCUAUGCAUUUGUCUCAUUCAGAAUUCCUGGUGUCAAGAUGAGCAAGAUUAUUGUACAUACCUUGAAAUGUGGAAGGAAAUGGAUGCCUCUUAUUUCAGGAGACUAUUCUUUACCCAAAAUCCACUGAGGGCUCAGAAAGAGCUCUGGAGUCAGCAUCAAUUAUUAGCCGUGUGAGGCAAAGGAUGUUACUUAACUUCUCUGAGUCUUAGUUUUCCCACGUGAAACACCUGGACAAUAAUACCUAUGUUGCAGAGGUCCUGAGAGAAUUACAGGUGUAUCUGUAAAGCAGCUGGUAUACAGCAGGAACUCCAUAAAAUGGUAGCUAUAAUUAUUACUCACUUCCCUAUGAUAACCUUCAAGCAUGCAAAGUAUUUGACUGCCCAGAAACGACUUAGGAGCAGGGAACAACCCUAUCCAUGGCUAAGCAGGUAUCUCUUACACAGCCCUUCCCUGGAAGUGCGCUGCUGGGGUUGUCACAGUCUUGGGGCUCCAGCCCAGCAGGACUAGGCAUUCCCCUCACGGUUUCCUUCCUAACUGUGUUACCCUCCUCACUCAGUCUUAUAAAAAUAAGUAAAAUAACACUGACCUAAUUCUUCCCAAGUCUAUCCAAAUGAAAAAUCUAGAACUUAGCUUUGCUGCUGUCCGAAUUCUGUUCUCUGCUAUCAAUCCACAAGGACCCCACUGCCCAGCUUUUGAACCAAGGCGUGAACCGCAGAGCCAUUUGGCCAGAACUGCAAAGACAGUGACACUGUGUGGCCAGAGGCAGAAGUGCAGACUAGUCCAGACGUGAGACUGGAGAGCAGUGUGGCUUGUGCCUCAAAUCAAGGACAGAAGAAGCCUAGCCACAGGGCACAAGUCAGUUUCUAAAUGCUUACUGUGUUGCCCUCAAGAACUGCGGAAGACUUACAGACAAAUCUUAGCAAUCUUCAUCCCUCUCAGAUAUCCCUUUUUGGCACACUCAGACCUUGAAGACUAGGAAAAAGUAUGAAGGACGCAAUACAUCCUGCAGAGUUAUCCUGUCAAAGGGAAAAUGGCUUUAAAUCAUGCACAGCAAUGACUGGCCUUCAUAUACAGCUCAGCAUGAAAAAAUACUGUUUCUGUAGGCUGGAAUGACAGUGAGGCACCGUCACUGAAUCUAGUCUAGUCCUCUGCUUCUUAGCAACUUUGCUCCCUGAGCCCUACCAGGUAGAUGAAUGGGUGUUUGUCCCAUCCUUUAAGUUAUAAUAUUUAUGGAGGAGUAGCCUCCUUCUUCACACUAGUGGGCUCAGGUUUUUACUUAUUUUAGAAAAGCCCCAGGACUUGUCCCAUAAUUAUGCAUUCUCACAGGUAAAGACUUCUCAUGGGAAUUUCCAGAGUAAAUACUUAAGGGUCUCCAUUUACACGAAUCGGAUUACAUGUUCUCUAGAUCUAACCAUCCCCAGAGAAAUUAAUGAAAACCUAAGUAUCUCCUCCCACCCUCAUGAAUUCUUAUCUUAAACCCCUCUGCUUCACUGACUUGAACCACGCCAAGUCACAGGAUGGUGGAGAGAGCCCUGAACUUGGAACCCUCCCUGGAGUUUGGAACAAGGACUAGGAGAGAUUCAGAGUCACUGCCUAUAGCUGGAACUGUAACCUAACUCACAUGCCGUCCGCUGCUGUUCCCCAGCAUGAGGAGAGGAAGCUGGAGGGGGGAGGACAGAGGAGACCUCAGAGAAGAGAGAGGAGGAGAAGGGAGAGCAGAAGUAUCUAGGUCAGUUCCUAAAGACCCGGGAGCCUAUAGGAUUCCUAUGAACCCUUAUAAUAGCCUCUCCUUCAAAUCUGGCUCAAAUUGAUUUCUGUUACUUCUAAUUUUAAGAGAAUAGACUACAUGGUGGACUGGGCAGUUAAUUUCAUUAUGCCUUAGUUUCCUCAUCUGUUCAGCAAGAAUUAUCAUUCAUUCACUCAGCAAAUAUUUACUGAGUGCUUUUUCCAUGCUAGGCUCUGUUUUAGGUACUGUGAGACAUAGCAGGGAACAAAACAGAUUUUGAAAAUUCCUUUAUGAAACUUCUACUAAAAAGGCCUCUGGAAGUUAA